GCUCCCCAACUUAACCACUACACCCCUCCCUGAGCUAUUUAUUAUACAAAAGAAACAGCAUUAUUCAGAGUGGUGCUGCUGAGUAAGAGGAGAUACAGAAAGCAGAGGAGCCAAACUUUCUCUGCACAUGUGAGUAGUGGUGGGAAGAAGACUUCAGCCCAAUAUACAUGUAUUAAUAUAUCAGAGCUGAUAUAUAACAAACCCGCACCCCAUAAUACUCUAAUACAACCUCUGGGAUAGUUUGCCAUUUGGAGAUUAGAAGUCAAAGAACAUCAGAGGAGGGCUAUUCCAGAUCUCUCUGGCUAUCGACAGAUCAUCUCUUGCAAUCACCCAAUUUUAAGGACAAUGUUUCUUGUUGCUGUCAGGCAGCACUGUUCUCUUAAAGAAAAGAAAUCCACGUCUUUCUCUAAAGAAAGGCCUGGAAAGGCCAGGCACUCUACGCUGCCUCUGUUCAGUUUGGCUGCUGCAUUUCACCCUCACCUGCAGUGUGUGGAGGACGUUAUGCUAUGCUCAUUAUCCAUGCAAAGACAUGAACCAACCUGGGACUAUUAACAACGUCUGAUAUCAAGAAGCACGAAAGCAAAUCAAGUCAGGCAGAUGUUUUCUUCUGCCUUCCUCUUGGCAAAGAAACCAGUGGUCAGACAUCUAGAAGCAGCCCUGAAAGGACACUUGACACCCAUGCUUUUUACUUUUUUUGCUCCAUCAAGGGACCUCCUGCCUGGUGAGUCUCAGGCUCUAGGAAAUAUCCUACGCCGUACCAAGUGGUGGGAGCAAGGAACAAGGCGCCUGUUAUAAUUUCUCCUUUCUAUCCCUGUACUGCCCUAAAACAGGCUGUAUUCUGAGACUACGAAUGGCAAAACUGCUCAAUUUGGUCAGUCAGUUCUAGGCUGAGUAAAGAAGAGAUGAGAAAUUAGAGCGAAUGCUGAAAGUUACAGUAUUUUGUCUGUGAUUAAA